rnacentral:rRNA from 1 species
UUGAAGAGUUUGAUCAUGGCUCAGAUUGAACGCUGGCGGCAGGCCUAACACAUGCAAGUCGAACGGUAACAGGAAGCAGCUUGCUGCUUUGCUGACGAGUGGCGGACGGGUGAGUAAUGUCUGGGAAACUGCCCGAUGGAGGGGGAUAACUACUGGAAACGGUAGCUAAUACCGCAUAACGUCGCAAGACCAAAGAGGGGGACCUUCGGGCCUCUUGCCAUCGGAUGUGCCCAGAUGGGAUUAGCUAGUAGGUGGGGUAAAGGCUCACCUAGGCGACGAUCCCUAGCUGGUCUGAGAGGAUGACCAGCCACACUGGAACUGAGACACGGUCCAGACUCCUACGGGAGGCAGCAGUGGGGAAUAUUGCACAAUGGGCGCAAGCCUGAUGCAGCCAUGCCGCGUGUAUGAAGAAGGCCUUCGGGUUGUAAAGUACUUUCAGCGGGGAGGAAGGGAGUAAAGUUAAUACCUUUGCUCAUUGACGUUACCCGCAGAAGAAGCACCGGCUAACUCCGUGCCAGCAGCCGCGGUAAUACGGAGGGUGCAAGCGUUAAUCGGAAUUACUGGGCGUAAAGCGCACGCAGGCGGUUUGUUAAGUCAGAUGUGAAAUCCCCGGGCUCAACCUGGGAACUGCAUCUGAUACUGGCAAGCUUGAGUCUCGUAGAGGGGGUAGAAUUCCAGGUGUAGCGGUGAAAUGCGUAGAGAUCUGGAGGAAUACCGGUGGCGAAGGCGGCCCCCUGGACGAAGACUGACGCUCAGGUGCGAAAGCGUGGGGAGCAAACAGGAUUAGAUACCCUGGUAGUCCACGCCGUAAACGAUGUCGACUUGGAGGUUGUGCCCUUGAGGCGUGGCUUCCGGAGCUAACGCGUUAAGUCGACCGCCUGGGGAGUACGGCCGCAAGGUUAAAACUCAAAUGAAUUGACGGGGGCCCGCACAAGCGGUGGAGCAUGUGGUUUAAUUCGAUGCAACGCGAAGAACCUUACCUGGUCUUGACAUCCACGGAAGUUUUCAGAGAUGAGAAUGUGCCUUCGGGAACCGUGAGACAGGUGCUGCAUGGCUGUCGUCAGCUCGUGUUGUGAAAUGUUGGGUUAAGUCCCGCAACGAGCGCAACCCUUAUCCUUUGUUGCCAGCGGUCCGGCCGGGAACUCAAAGGAGACUGCCAGUGAUAAACUGGAGGAAGGUGGGGAUGACGUCAAGUCAUCAUGGCCCUUACGACCAGGGCUACACACGUGCUACAAUGGCGCAUACAAAGAGAAGCGACCUCGCGAGAGCAAGCGGACCUCAUAAAGUGCGUCGUAGUCCGGAUUGGAGUCUGCAACUCGACUCCAUGAAGUCGGAAUCGCUAGUAAUCGUGGAUCAGAAUGCCACGGUGAAUACGUUCCCGGGCCUUGUACACACCGCCCGUCACACCAUGGGAGUGGGUUGCAAAAGAAGUAGGUAGCUUAACCUUCGGGAGGGCGCUUACCACUUUGUGAUUCAUGACUGGGGUGAAGUCGUAACAAGGUAACCGUAGGGGAACCUGCGGUUGGAUCACCUCCUU